AUCCAGGCAGAAGGACCUGACACAGGUUGUGACAGGGAGAAGUGAAACCAGGGCAGAUGGGGACUCCCCAACACUGGGCUUCCCCGCCCCCGACGCCGCCCUGGGGCCAGAGUCCCUGAGAGGCGGGCCUGGGGACCUGGGACUUGGCCUGGAAGCCUCACCUACUGCACAGAGCGCUCUUUGUCCCACUGUGUCCCUCAGCCGUGGACCAGGAGCUGUGAGGCCUGAGCAGACCAGUUCCCCCAAGGGCUUGGCCAUCACAUUUGUGUCAAGUGAAAAGAUCCUCAGUGAGGUGCAGGGUCACACUGAGGGCAGUAGCAGUGAGCAGCCUGAUGAGAUGCACAUUGUCUCCUCCAGUGAGUAUUGAUCCCAUGAAAUUGGUUCCUCCAACUCUUCAGAGUCUCCUUGUUCCUUAGAGACUUUGUCUUGAACCAUGUAGUCCAGAGAAUGGUGCCUGAUGCCUAAUGGGUGCCUGACAAGUUUAUGCCUCCCAACCUUGAUGCCAUGUUGGGAUGUUUUCUUCAUUUCUAUG